rnacentral:sRNA from 1 species
UGACAAUGCUAAUAUCGCAGAAGGUUUGGUUAGAGAGUUGAGGUUAAGAUUCAAAGAGAUUCCUUUAAGCUUCGAUAAUGUUAUAGGAAUGCAUUAUUAAGAUUAGGAAUGCAUUAUUAAGAUUGAAAAGUAAAACAAGAUAGACUGGAGUCAGAUAACAAAGGCUUGUGCAGUUCUCAGGAUGUCGUGUAUUAUUGGAAAGAUUCAAACAGAAGCAAUUUGUCGCAUUAAGGUCUCCUCCCCUUAGCAGCUCAAGCAUGACAACCCCAGAGUUGCACCCAUCCCUGUCAUAAAAAAUGUAUAAGCAUGUGGUUUGGAAAAGAUCUCGAUGACCUGGCUACUCCCAAGUCCUAUUAUGCAUACAUAUUAAAAACAGUGAAAGAAAAAACUCAGCUCAUUGAAGGAACACCCUCACUCUGCUUGAAUUCUACUCUAUUAAUAGUUGCAAACAGUCUCUAGUGGGCAGCUUGUGCCAUACUUAUGGAAGUUCACUGAAUGGGGAUGCAUACAUGUCAUAAAGGAUUAAGAAAUACUCUACCAAUCCUGCUGAAUUGAUUGUGAUAGACGAAGGGCAUGUUAGUGCUUUUCUCCUCGUACAUGCUUUCACUUCACUUUUCACCACAUAAAAAAGGAUAUGUACUCGGUUAUGUGAAACUAAUGACAAGAUUAAUAUAUAGAGUUUUUUAGUUUAAUUAAAUUC